CAACUACUCCCUCUGUCCCAAAUUUCUUGUCUUAGAUUUGUCUAGAUACGGAUGUAUCUAAUACUAAAAUGUGACUUGAUACAUCCGUAUCUAGACAAAUCUAAGACAUGAAUUUUGGGACGGAGGGAGUACUUU
rfam:Triticum aestivum genome assembly, contig: Triticum_aestivum_CS42_TGACv1_scaffold_049778_1BS